GACGAACGCUGGCGGCGUGGAUUAGGCAUGCAAGUCGGACGGUAGGGCUUUAUCGUAAGAUAGAGUUUGAGAGUGGCGAACGGGUGAGUAACACGUAGGAAUCUACCCUUAAGACGGGGACAACCCAGGGAAACUUGGGCUAAUACCGGAUGAGAGUGCGAGAGAUUGCAUUUAAAAGGAUGGCGAAAGUUGUCGCUUAGGGAUGAGCCUGCGGUCUAUUAGUUAGUUGGUGAGGUAAGAGCUCACCAAGGCGAUGAUAGAUAGGCGGCCUUAACGGGUGGUCGCCCACACUGGGAUUGAGAUACGGCCCAGACUCCUACGGGAGGCAGCAGUCGAGAAUAGUCUACAAUGGCCGGAAGGCUGAUAGUGCGACGCCGCGUGAACGAGGGAGCCCUUCGGGGUGUAAAGUUCUUUUAUAUGUGAGCAGUGCUUCUUAUAUUAACAGUAUGGGGAGAGAGAUAUUAGCAUAUGAAUAAGCAACGGCUAACUCCGUG
rnacentral:rRNA from 1 species